UAGGGAAUCUUCGGCAAUGGGGGGAACCCUUGACCGAGCAACGCCGGCGUGAGUGAAGAAGGUUUUCGGAUCGUAAAGCUCUGUUGUUAAGGAAGAACGAGUGUGAGAAUGGAAAGUUCAUACUGUGACGGUACUUAACCAGAAAGGGACGGCUAACUACGUGCCAGCAGCCGCGGUAACACGUAGGUCCCGAGCGUUGUCCGGAUUUAUUGGGCGUAAAGCGAGCGCAGGCGGUUAGAAAAGUCUGAAGUGAAAGGCAGUGGCUCAACCAUUGUAGGCUUUGGAAACUGUUUAACUUGAGUGCAGAAGGGGAGAGUGGAAUUCCACGUGUAGCGGUGAAAUGCGUAGAUAUAUGGAGGAACACCGGUGGCGAAAGCGGCUCUCUGGUCUGUAACUGACGCUGAGGCUCGAAAGCGUGGGGAGCGAACAGGAUUAGAUACCCUGGUAGUCCACGCCGUAAACGAUGAGUGCUAGGUGUUAGGUCCUUUCCGGGACUUAGUGCCGCAGCUAACGCAUUAAGCACUCCGCCUGGGGAGUACGACCGCAAGNUUG
rnacentral:rRNA from 1 species